rnacentral:lncRNA from 1 species
CAGCUCUUAUGUGAGGUGAAUAGGGAGCCUACAUCCUGGGAACAAAUUUUUACCCCUCAAACAUCAGAUAGAGCUCUAAUCUCUAGAGUAUACAAAGAACUCAAAAAGUUAAACAACAAAAAAGCAAAUAACCCAAUCAACAAAUGGGCCAAGGACUUGAACAGAAACUUCUCAGGAUAUACAAUCAAUCAACAAAUACAUGAAAAAAUGCUCACCAUCUCUAGCAAUCAUAGAAAUGCAAACUAAAACUAAGAUACCAUCUCACUCCAAUAAGAAUGGCAGCCAUUAUGAAGUCAAACAACAAUAAGUGCUGGUGAUGAUGCAGGGGAAAAAGGUACACUCAUACAUUGCUGGUGGGACUGCAAAUUGGUGCAGCCAAUUUGGAAAGCAGUAUGGAGAUUCCUUGGGAAGCUGGGAAUGGAACCACCAUUUGACCCAGCUAUUCCCCUUCUCGGACUAUACCCAAAAGACCUAAAAAGAGCAUACUACAAGGACACUGCCACAUCAAUGUUUAUAGCAGCACAAUUCACAAUAGCUAGAAUGUGGAACCAACCCAGAUGCCCUUCAAUAGAUGAAUGGAUUAAAAAAUGUGGCAUUUAUAUACAAUGGAAUAUUACUCAGCACUAAAAAAUAACAAGAUCAUGGCAUUUGCAGGGAAAUGGAUGGCAUUAGAGCAGAAUAUGCUAAGUGGGAUUAUGCCAAUCCCUAAAAAACAAAUGCCGAAUGUCUUCUCUGAUAUAAGGUGGUUACUCAAAAUGGGAUAGGGAGGAAGAGCAUGAGAAGAAGACUACCACUAAAUAGGGAAGAGAGGUGGGAGGGAAAAAGAGGGAGAAGGGGUGUUGCACGGAAGAUGGAAGGAGAACCUCAUUGUUAUAUAGAAUAUAUAUAUGAUGUUGUGAUGAGAAAAAGAAAAAAAAAGUGUGUCACAUUAGAUUGGAUAGAGAGAAGUGAUGGGAGGGGAGGGGAGGAAUAGGGUGGAUAGGAAGGGCAGCAGAAUAGAAUAGACAUUAUGACUGAUGUAUGUACAUUCCAUGUAUGUAUUAUAUGUCAAAAUACAUUCUGCUCUCAUGUAGGACUAAAAAAAAAUACAAAUAAAUCGUAUGGUAAAUAAAUAAAUAAAUAAAUGACUUAAGUGCCUUACUUCUCAAAGUGUGGCUGGCCUGUAGGUCAGU